GUUGCCUCGCCACAUGUCGGUUGCCUGCUCCGUUGCCUCGCCGCAUACUCUACCACCUCGCCACCUACUCUGUCGCCCCGCCGCACAUUGGCCGCCUUCUCUCCCUCAUCUUACUUCUUCUCUCCAUCCUCACUAGGAGAUCAAGGAGGAAGGGAUCCCCUUUUCUGCAAAGUCCGUGCCUUGCCGGCUCUACUGACAACGCUCGAUGACCCGCUCCUCAUCAUCGAGCACCUCCUCCAGACCUCGAGCUUCGGCGGCCGCGGCGUGGGAAACACGACUAGGGCAUGGGGAAGACUUGCUCCAGCCACAUGCCACUGCCCUGUGCUCGUCUUUCUCCUCGAACUGGCGGGCUUAUGAUGGAGGACAUACACUCUUGGCUCCAUCGGCGCCGAUGCUGCCGCUUCUGCUUCUUUACCCUGCUUGCCCACAGCGCAGGUCUGUCUUCUGAAAUUAUAGGUGAUGUCUGUCUGUUGAAGCAAGCAGGUGAGCUGACUUUGUGCAGCGAUUGGAGGAGGAAUGGAGUAUUGCAGAGGAAUGGAUGCUGCUUCCAUUGGUGCAGAACCUAUACAUAGCUGCAGCACACAGGCCAGUUCAUGAACUGCUAGAAGAAGAAAAGAAGGUGGCAUUUCCUUGCCUUUAGCAUACAUGCCAGUUCAUCAACCUAUGCGGCUUGUGAUGCUAUAUUUAAAGGUUUCGUGAAUGGAGUACUUAAUGUCCUCUGGUGCUAUAUUUCUGAAAACAUCCAAGUUUUUAUCACUUUGCUAGCAUCCACAAGUCUAUUGAAGCGUGCAUGUCUUUGUGAAUCUUGCUGUGUAGAUGGUGGAUAGCCUGGUAAAAGAUUUGAGACGUUCUACUUGUUGCCGAAAAGGACAUUAGUACUUGUUGCAUUCUAAGUUAUUCACUAUGGAGUAAUUAGAAACCAAUUGGCAGUUGACUGCA